CUCAGAACCUAGUCGGGAAUUAGUUCAACUGGCUUCUGGACGAUGGAAUCAGCGAUCCGGGUCAAGAAGAUCAUCCGACCAAAGCAGCAUACCUCAAAAAAUUAAAUGUAAAGGAGUAUAACAUGGAGAUCCUGCACACCCUUUAUUUUCCAUUUAUUAUACUAUCUAUUAUAAACGAUGGCAACAGUGGUGUAGCAAUGUUAAUACCCAUCCAGCACUGUUGUUG